UUUUAGUAGAGGUUGCGUCACUCAUUAGUACAUUUUGUGAUAAGUGCAGACUUAGAUGAGGAAUAUGGAAAGGGAAUGACGCCGAAGAAGCUGAUUAUCUGUGAAAUCAGGUUCUGGGCAUAUAGUUAAUAACUGUAUGACUGUCAUCAUGAUUUAUUUUUAUAUUUAUGAUGGAGCGCUAUCUGG
rnacentral:ncRNA from 1 species